CAUGUUUCUGUAGAACUCAAUUAGGUAUAUACGGAUAUCUAAUCUAAACCGUGGAUGUUAUUGAUGCAUGGUCACAACUAAAGAAACGUAAACUAAAGAAACCUAAAUAGAAAUUUUCGAAAUUUGUUUUACCCGCUAAAUACUGUAAGCGCUGUAACAAGUAUUAGGUUGUCCGGAAGGUGUCUUUCUUUCGCAAACGUGUUAUUUACAACAUUGCAGCUUCAUACAAACGUGAAACCAAGUUUGUGAAAUGUCGCGGUGUUUAUCUCAACAGAACAAAAUGGAUCGUACGUAAUUCGACAAAAUAAUACAAAACAAAAAACCUUGUGCGUCUAUUAUUUCCUCAUAAAACGAAAGAAACUUUUCGGAUAACCUAAUAUUUGAGAUGUUUCUUACGUUACGCUCAUUAUGUACAUUUAUUUACACUUGCGGCCAUAAAGUUUUCAUAUCUUUGGCUAACUUCUGUCCAGCUGGACUAAGUAUAUUUAGUGCUAUAUCAUGUACGCUAGCAUGAUGUUAAAUUGGGACAGUAUAUUUAACAGUCAUUGGUGAUAUUCGUUCAAUUAGACUGAGACUAAGUGAUUCGAACUAAAGUUAGUAUACGUGCUUUUCUGCGCGAUUCUCACUUGUCACGAGUUUUUAUUGGCCUUUAUUUAGUUCAACGUAACGAAUCGGACCACAUAACUCGAAAGAACGACAGAAUGUAAACAAGUAAGAUGAAGCAACGUAUUAACAGAUAUUAUUGACGGCGAAAACAAAUUACAUUGUACCACAACGAACAAGAAAACGUCAGAUCGAUUUAAGAUGACUUCAACGAUGUCUGACGAAAAGACACAGGCGACUUGCGUCUGGAAACCUUCUCCGGGCGUAUUUCUUUAAUUAGAAACAUUACGAAAGUCGAGUCGUAUGGAUGCGUUGUUUAGUUAACGAUAAAUUACGUUCGUCAGGUGAAUAAUGAUUUAUGACAGUAUGCCAUAGUGUUUGUUUACUUUCCGCUUCUUGUUUGAUCGUGACGAAUAUUUGGCUACGAUAAACAUUUGCUUAACAAUUCUAUAAUGUGCAUAAUAUUAUGGUAUUCCACGAGUAUCGGAAUAAAUAUAAAUAAACGAAUAUAAUACAGCUGCGAUCGCCAUUGUAAUCUUAUAUUUCGUGUUUUAUCGAAUGUUUUAGCCAGUAAUAUUUCGUGACAUUCUACGUUCUUCUGCAAGCAAUUUCUAUUUGAAAUCAAGAAUGAAUAAUAAUCACUUAAAUAUCGUAUAAAAGUGAAAAUACAAAAUUAUAGACAUGAAUCGAGUUGUAUUUUCUCGUUUACGUAACGAAAUAUUUGUCAAAUGUUCCAGCGUAAAAAUACAAAAAGAACUCUAUCGUUUCGAACUAUUUGAACUGUGGAUGUUCAUACAUUUGUAAAUAUGUAAUAUAAAGAUACAAGAAUACAUACAUACAUUCUACAUAUAUAACGUAUAGAGAUAUGUGUGAAAAAGAAUUUGAAUAUGUAGAUGAAAUCUUUAUUCCAUGUUUUUAGUUGAAUGUAUCCAUGAAAAUAUGAAUUUGCAUAACCAUGUCCGUAGGCUGUUAAUUAAAUACAAAAAUGUUAAUCGAUAUACGUCUCGAACUUGCUAAUAUGUGUAUAUUUACAACCUAUAAAUACACGUAAGACAUGUUUUA